UUAAGUAGAAUUUGAUAUGACAUGUUUUUAUUGGUUAAUGCAAAAGGAGGUGAAUAAAAGGGUUCACCCCUAGGGGUGAACCCAAGUUUCGUUCUUAAAAUUAUAGGGAUAAGAUGUAAUUUUUUUAAUGAGUCAAAUUACUUAGCCUCAGUCUAUUGAUUGAUAAGUUGUCUUAGAAAGAUGGAUAUGGACCUAUUCAACAAUCAAAAUCAAGCUCGCAUGGCCUCUUGCAUAUUUAAUGAUAUUGAAUUCGGUUUAUGUUGUAUACCAUACUUCCUUAUUACCUUGUUCAGGCCCGAUUCUUGGGAGGUGCUGAGUGUGCUAGUGCACCGGGGCCCAAUUCUUUGUUCAGUUUUUUCUUUAUAUUUUAGGGUCCAAAAUUUGGAACUUAAAACCGGGUCCAUUAAUUUAUUGGACCGGCCUGACCUUGUUAGUAGCCAAUAUCGUUAUAAAUAUGUAUUAUACUAGAUAUUGACCCGCGGUACACCGCGUGUUGAUAUUUUCUUUAAAAAGUUAUUUUUUUAUUUAAUUAAAAUUAUUUAUAUAUGAAUAACAUAUUCAUGAGUUACAUUACGG
rnacentral:sRNA from 1 species